rnacentral:sRNA from 1 species
CUUUAGAUCGCAGCCCGGCCUGAAUGGAGCUCUUUUUGUUUCGUCUGAAAAGACGAGAUAAAAAAGCGGGAAUGGAGGACGGAAAUAGCU